UACGGGGGGAGCAAGCGUUGUUCGGAUUUACUGGGCGUAAAGGGCGCGUAGGCGGCCACCGCAAGUCGACUGUGAAAUCUCCGGGCUUAACUCGGAAAGGUCAGCCGAUACUGCGGGGCUAGAGUGCAGAAGGGGCAACUGGAAUUCUCGGUGUAGCGGUGAAAUGCGUAGAUAUCGAGAGGAACACCUGCGGCGAAGGCGGGUUGCUGGGCUGACACUGACGCUGAAGCGCGAAAGCUAGGGGAGCAAACGGG
rnacentral:rRNA from 1 species